UCCUACGGGGUGCAGCAGGCGAGAAACCUUUGCAAUGUGCGCAAGCACGACAAGGUUAAUCCGAGUGUUUCCUGCUAAAGGAAUCUUUUGUUAGUUGUAAAACCACUGAUGAAUAAGGGGUGGGCAAGUUCUGGUGUCAGCCGCCGCGGUAAAACCAGCACCUCAAGUGGUCAGGAUGAUUAUUGGGCCUAAAGCAUCCGUAGCCUGUUCUGUAAGUUUCCGGUUAAAUCCAUUAGCUCAACUAAUGGGCUGCCGAAAAUACUGCAAAACUAGGGAGUGGGAGAGGUAGACGGUACUCGGUAGGAAGGGGUAAAAUCCUUUGAUCUAUUGAUGACCACCUGUGGCGAAGGCGGUCUACCAGAACACGUUCGACGGUGAGGGAUGAAAGCUGGGGGAGCAAACCGGAUUAGAUACCCGGGUAGUCCCAGCUGUAAACGAUGCAGACUCGGUGAUGCCCUGGCUUGUGGCCAGUGCAGUGCCGCAGGGAAGCCGUUAAGUUUGCCGCCUGGGAAGUACGUACGCAAGUAUGAAACUUAAAGGAAUUGGCGGGGGAGCACCACAAGGGGUGAAGCCUGCGGUUCAAUUGGAGUCAACGCCAGAAAUCUUACCCGAAGAGACAGCAGAAUGAAGGUCAAGCUGGAGACUUUACCAGACAAGCUGAGAAGUAGUGCAUGGCC
rnacentral:rRNA from 1 species